CCUGAAUGGGCCAAAAUAAAUGGAUUACCCAGGCUACGGCAGUGACUUAAGAGGCCGGAGUGGGGAGGGGAAACCUUUGUGGACACCACCACCUCCCGCGGCAUACAGGAAGCCCCCUGAAGGGGCUAAAGAGAUAUAGAUAUAGAAAGCAAGCCAGAACUCUAUCCAAAAAGACUUAUCAUCCUAACCCAUUGAGGCAAUCUGUGCAUGGAGGCAGGCUGGAACUGUGGGCAGUGGUUCCUGAAUUUGGACCUUGAGUGUGUAUUCUCCAAGCCAGAGCUCCAGAGUGGAGUACUGAGGUCUAACUGUAAAGCACCCUGAGAUGCUACGCAUCCUGAUGAAAGAAAACUGAAGGAAAGGAAAAUGAUGGGAAACAACCACAGUGAAUUUUUAUUGAAGUAAUCAUGAGUACUUUUGUCUGAAAAUACUUUACAGUGACCUAAUGGAGCCAACUUUACCCGCUUGGCUCAGUGAAUCAAAGGAAACCUACAUGUGUUUGCCUUGAGUUAUUGAUGGCUUUGGCAGAUAAGUAUUUAUCAUUUCUCAUUAUCCAGAAUAAUAAUUGGAUAAAUUAUCAGUAUGAUUGGAUGGAUCUUGAGGAUGUAUUUGAGAAUCUCUAAACUGAAUUAAUGGAAAACACAAAUUUAACAAAAUACUAGAAAGAUCAUGCCGCCAGCCUGGUGAGAAUAGAAGGUGAAAAUGAUUACACAAAGCAUAUGGAAUUUGCUGAAAUCACUUAAGAAGGUAAACCUCUCCUUAAUUGUGAUGUAAUAUGCUAGUUAGCAUCAACAAGACAUCAAAAGUGGGGUCUAGUAGAAAGGGGCUUGCAUUUUUCUAAUCACAUAAGGGGCUUCUAUACUUUUAAUCAAGGAUCCAUGUCCAGACACUUUGUUUCAAAUCUAUUCACAGAAUUAUAUUCAGAGGCUUGCGUCCAGCAUGAGUUAUUUUAAUCUUGUGAGCUGGAGCCAUAAGAAAGGAGGAGUGAAACCAACUGCUGCUAGAACAUUUCCCAUACUCUUGAAAAAAAGGGAAGUGCAGACUGGCACAACCUAUUUGAAACUGAGAUGGGUGGUAACCUCCAAGCUGUAAUAGCUUAUCACAAAGUAACAGGUAUAUUGAGACCUUCCCCAGAGAAAUCAAGACCUCUCUUUGAGGAAAAAGAUGAUAAAAGUCUGAACCAGGGACUGAGGGUUGUCAUCACAGUAUACCAUCACAUUGGGUCAUCAGAUUCACAUUGGGUUUCCAGAUCAGGGCUUGACCAUCCAGUCUUUCCCCUCUGUGUUGCUGAACUUUGAUCAAAGACUAUUUGGACUGGUGAGAUCUCUACUAAACUCUUUAAUUGUUAAACUCUUAAUUAAUUGUUCUCUUUUUAAACUUAAAUACAACUCUUUAACUUUUGUUCUUUGAGUGUGUGUGCUUCAUUUCUGAGGCAAUGGGCACACAGCUGAACACAAACCUGCUCCCCAUAGCUAAAAUCUGACCAGGCAAGGCUAAUGGGGAAUCUUGGGAAUAAAUAAAUCCAACAAUAGUUACAUACACCUAUUUUACACUGAAAUCAGUGGGGCUUACAUGUGUAUAACCGAGCCUUUGAUUCCUGUCUUAAUACUAUAAAAUGAUUAAAAUGAACUCAUGCAGCAAGGAAACUUUGCUAGGCUUAAUGUAAAGUAUAUCUAAUAUUUAUGAAGCCAGUAGAGAGUCACUAUGUUUGGAUGGAAUUUGAAAUGGCUUACAAUAGAAGCUAAAUGCCACAUUUGUGUGAAGAACAGUGCUGAAUAAGCAUACAGAACAUCAGUCUCAAUAUGCUAAGCAAAACAUGAUCACAGUUUGUAAUUGAAUGCAAUCAGCUAUAUUAAACCUAAGAAAAUACUUUCAUAAUGUGAAAUGUUUCUUUCAACAUACAUGUGGCAGGUUCAGGCAUCAUACAGAACCACAGUUUAUUUUAACUAGAGUUUAUUUAACAAAUCUGGAUUGAUGCUGCAGAUGAGCAUCAGAUCUUGGCUUGUUUUGCCAUAUCAUGGUUUGUUCAGUCUUGUUGCUUCUCCUUAUCUCCCAUGAUUUAGGCUUACCUCUCUAUGCGAGAGCCCUGUGAGGGCAGAGCUACUGCAACAGACCAAGAUGAAAACAAAUUGUGGAGUUUGACAUCAAUCAAUCAAUCAGUCAUAGACCAGCAUAAAGUAUAAUGGUGAUCAUAUGUUAUAAGUGAGAGGAGAUUAAAAUUGAUUACAUAUAGAAUGGUACUUAAGGUACAUAUUAAUAUUAAAAAGUAAAAUCAUAAAAAGUACACAAAAAGCAUGAGGGCAUAAAAACCUGAAAAGGCAUAAAAAGGCAUAAAAGGCAUAAAAAGGGGGGGGCAUAAAAUGGAUGUAAAAAGAUUAAAAGACAUGAGAGGACAGAAAUACAUAAAAACCUGAGUAAUAAAAAUGGAUAACAGCCAGGCUAUGAGGAGCAGGAGAAAAAAGGGUGGGUCUUUCUAUUGUAUCAGUAUUUAGUGAGCAAUUGUAGAGCCCUCCCUGAGUCACCGAGGGUCAGAUUGAGGCUGAUAGAACUCACUGCCUAUCAUCUGCUGAUGAAUGCUGAUCACAGCUGCACAGUACCUGCAGGGGGUAUCUAUGAUGGGGCAGGCAGGGCACGUGCCCCGGGCACCACUUGAAGGGGGGGCGCCAUUUUUUAAAAUUAUUAUUAUUUUUUUAAAGGCAACUUUAAAAAAAUGGCCACCGUGCAUGGUCAAAUGGCCUCUGUGAGGAACUAGGCCAUGCCAGGCCUCAUAGAGGCCAUUCGAGCAUGUGCAGUGGCCAUUUUGUUUUCAGCGGCCAUUUAAAAAAAAAUUUUUUUUAAAUGGCCCACGUGCUCAAAUGGUCCCUGCGAGGCCCUAGAGGCCAUCGAGGGGAGGGGGAACCUUUGCAACACCCCCCCACAGCCUUUAGGAAGCCCCCCGAAUGGGCGACAGGUAAUUUUUAAAAUAAUAAUAUAAGUCACUGUACACAUAUUCAGAUUGGCACUAUGUACAGAGAAUCAGGGCUUGUGAAUACUGAGCUGACGCUUAUGAGCUAGGAUUGUAUUCAUUUGCUCUUACUUUGCUUCUUGUGAUAAGUGAGUUAAAUGUGAUGUCUUGCUAAUAUGGCUAUUAAUGGUGAGUUUGUCUUUGAAUCAGUGUGAAACCCUUAAUAUUAAGGCCCACUGGGAGUUUCUUGCUCUCUUUCUCUCAUUUUAACUGUCUUUCUGGAAGACUAGAAUAUAUUCCAAGCAGUGACACAGUUUACUCUGCAUAUCCUUUAAUUAUUUUCAGAGUAUCUGGGAAAAGCCAAAUUUUUAAAACAUAUGUAAUAGUGAUGCUACAAUGCAUAGCAGAGAAUUAGACAGGCACUUCUGUUUAGUUUUCCAAGUACACCUCCACAUAGUAUUUGGGUAUUCCAUGAGCACCAGCAUACUGAAAUUUGUAGUUUCCCAGCAUUUUUUGGUCUGGCUACAUCCACUGCUAAAUAGUUUUUGAAAUAUUAAAAUAUUAACAAGCUUGACUUGUAUUUUUGAGCUGAUAUUAUGGUAAAGUUAUCUGAAAGAUGGGUGUCAGAUGUUUGGACGGGGGAAGCAAUUUUGGUGCUUGCCCUAGGCACCAUUUUUCCUAGAUACGCCUCUGAGUACCUGGCAACGCUAUAUGUGAUGGCAAGCUUAGAGUCAGAAAACAGCAAGGAGCUGUAGAAUUGGCUUGAACGUCUCAGAUACUUGCAUAACAAUGGAAGGAUGAGAGAGGUGCAAAUGUCUCUAUAGAAAAAACAGUAGAAGAGACAUGGGGUUCUGACAUCAUACAUGAUUAUAGUUAGGACCAUGGAAGGUUCUCCUAUGAGGGAAAUUGAGGCAGGACUUGGGGGACCUUUUUUCGGGUGGCAGAAUGCACCUUUGCUACCCCCUGCCCCGUUUGUUUGUGUUUCUUGGCCCUUCCUCACCCCUGGCUCCCGAGCCCUGGGUGCACUCCUCUGACCUUGCCAGCUGCACUCCCUGGGCCAGAAUCCACUGUGGCCACCCCUCGUUCCUCCCAUCUCCCCUUCCUGGGGUGUACUCUGCUUGCCCAUCCAAAAGGUCGGAUCCAGUUCCACCUGCUCAGAGUCUGUCCACUCCAUCUAUUGGCGCAGUGCUUGCUUGCUCUCUUGCUCGCUUGUCCAUUACUACUGCUCCUUGCCUUAGGCAUUAGCUUUUUGCAAGUUGCCACUGUAUGUAUUUAUGUAUGUAUGUAUGUAUGUAUGUAUAUUUGCAAUUAUAUAUAAUUUGUAGCACUUACUAUACAGACAGGGAUCCACUGACAAUCAGGAGCAAAGCUAACACAGUUCUCUGUGCACUUCCAAACUCUCUCAAAAUGACUCUUGUCUGUGUUAUCUCAAACACAUUUUUUUAACAAAGGCUCAUUUUACAGGGAAAAGAGUCCACAUAUGAAGGAAAGUUUGGGGCAGUGUACAAAUUUGACAAAUACACUAUUAAAUAAAUAAAUAAGUACACCCUACUGUAUGCAUAGAAAUUGGUCCUUCAUUCGAGAACUGAUUACCUUUAUGUGGUGUUUUUGCUUAAUCCGUUUCUUGAUCCAGGCCAGCUUUUGAAUGGGGCUUUAGUUACUUGUAUUCCAGUCCUGGAGUAGAGGCAAGACUAUCAACCAGCCACCAGCGAGAGCACUGAAAAGCAGUCUCCACUUUCCUCUCCAUACAUAAUAUCUAUUUCAUUAAACUAUUAAUAUUCCUGAUUCCAUUCCACUGCCUUGUCCUUGCAUACGACAACUCUUUCCCUUGGAUUCUACACUUUAGCCAAAAAAAUCUACUUUCUUAUUAAGGAAAGAAUGGAUGGUGAUGUUACAAGUCCAUUAAGAGUUCUCUCUGUUAUUGUUUUACACCAGUUAAGUCAGUUAAACAAUGGAAGGUGUCCUCUCCAAGUCUGAUUUAAAUAAAUGGAAUUGGCAUUUGAGAAAUCUUAUUAGCAUAUUUUAGCAUGCUACUCAGCUGGUCAGGAAAGCAGAGACCUAGAGUUCAAAAGGGGAAAAUAAAGGAUGUUUAAGAAUGGGUUCAAUGCAUGUAUUUCAGUAGCAAUGUAAAGAGGAGUGUGGCGCUUGAAACUUUGACUGAAGAAACUUGCCAUUGGAGAGGCUAUUUUUAUAGCUCAAGUUGACUAUAGAAACGGGGGUGGAUUAAGCUUUUUGCCGCCCAUAGGCAAAAGGGCUUUUGCUGCCCUUUUACCUUAAACAAAAAAGGUUUGCCUUUUUAAAAAAAAGGUGGAGGGGGGACUUUCUCCCCACCCACUCCACCCUUGCUGCAGCUGUCACUGCCCACAGAGAGGGGCAAUGAAAUUUAAGGAGGGGCAAAAUGUGCUGCUCCUCAAAUUUUGCCACCGUAGGCAAAUGCCUACUCUGCCUUUCCAUUAAUCCACCACUAUAUAGAAAUAGUUAUUUACAUUUUUCUGUUAUGCCCGUAUGACAACAUUAAAGAAAACAACUGCUUCCCCCCUACUCUAUGGACUAGGUUUUCUGUACUCACUUUGUUUUUUAAUUGUGGCAAAUAAUAAUAAAAUGCAUGAUGGAUUUUCACAUUCAGAAGUCUGGGUAAACAAGGACUGUCUCCAAUAUCAGUGGUAUGCUGGCUUCCUUCUGCAUAUGUAGCAGCAUGAGUUGUUACUGCCUGCUGCACUGACCUUAAUGAUUCUAAUGAUGGCAGAUUAGACAAUGGUGCCAAGUUACAAUUUCCUGAUUGGGUUAAUCAGUCUUAGAGAACUACAUGCUUCACCGAUGGAUGAUGAAAUCUGUGUGCAUGUUUUAAAUGCCCAAUAAAAUCUUUGAUGCAUGGCAGAUCUGGAGAAGAGUCAAUUCAAAACAAGAGUUUUUAUUUCCACCCCACCCCCACCCCGAUAAACAUUCAGUUUGUUUUUUGGUCAAGGUUUGUAUCAGGUUACAAUUCUUAAUCCACUCCACUUCUGUACAAGAAAGGUUUAUAGGUAAGAAUAUUAAACAAGCUGCAUCUUGGGAAACAAAUACAACUAUAAACCUAGACCUUAUCAUGAAAGGAAGGCAUGCAGAAUAUAAAACCAUGCAGAAUAUAAAAAGCCAAUUCCAAAGCAGAAGCCAAGUACCAUCUUACUUUAGGGCAGCUCCUGAUGUUGUUCACGUGCUGAUUUUGGAUUGUAUUUUGCACAUCCUAAAGUAUCAAUAAACAUUUUGUUCUUGUUUA